rnacentral:rRNA from 1 species
CAGCCGCCGCGGUAAUACGUAGGGUGCAAGCGUUAAUUGGAAUUACUGGGCGUAAAGCGUGCGCAGGCGGUUUGUUAAGACAGAUGUGAAAUCCCCGGGCUCAACCUGGGAACUGCAUUUGAAACUGGCAAGCUAGAGUCUUGUAGAGGGGGGUAGAAUUCCAGGUGUAGCGGUGAAAUGCGUAGAGAUCUGGAGGAAUACCGGUGGCGAAGGCGGCCCCCUGGACAAAGACUGACGCUCAGGUGCGAAAGCGUGGGGAGCAAACAGGAUUAGAUACCCCAGUAGUCCCUGUCUCUUAUAC